rnacentral:lncRNA from 1 species
UCCUCCACCAACCCCAAAUCGGACGAGUUGCUCCUCCGAGUUCUCAAGUCCGAGAUUAUCGAGACUCGGACUGAAGAAGAGGUUUCAAAUCUUUUUCAAUUUCUAUUUUUUUUCGUUUAGAUUCUCUUUUGAAUUCUUAGAUUCUACAUUUUGCUGACUGAAAUUAGGUUCGAUUUCUGAUUAAUUGUUACAAAAAUGAUUCACAUGAUCAUUUUCGGAGAUCUAGAUAAUUCUGAAUGCUCCUUUAAAUUAACUUGUUAGAGAUCAUAAAAUUUUGAUUGGAAUUAAGUCUUCAUGGUGUCAAGUUAUGCAUCUCACCUUGCUUGAUAUGCAGACAUACUUACCUGAGAUUUAAGAAUGCAUUGUUAUAGUUAUUAAACCUAAUUGCCCAUCAAUUUGAUCUUGAAGAAUUUUUGUGUAUGUCUUCUCAACUUACAAUCUUGAUUGAGAGGAGCUUAUUUUAAUUGUUCUCACAUUUCGAUUGUUUUAUAGAUGGAGAUUUUCGAAUCCUCCCCCUUCAAACUCGAAGAAUAUCAUGAACAUCCUAUAAAAUUUGCCAAAGAAUGUAAUGGAGAAAACAUCAGUCUUGAAAUCCAAAUGCGUGAGAAUGAGGAUGAGUACGAGGAUGAGGAUGAGCACGAGGAUGAAGAUGAUCAACAGAUAACACAAUAUUGUUUCCCGAUGGUCAUUAAAGUCUCCAAGCCUAAUUCACCGAGCUUAGAGUUUUCUUGCACUGCUUAUUCUGAUG